rnacentral:lncRNA from 1 species
GCAAGGCCUUUGAAGUGUGCUAGAUAAACAGUCUAGAUGUACAAGGGAAAGCACAGAUGAAAAAUAAGCUGAAAGGUAGUAACAAGACUGGGGAGGCAGAGAAUGGUGAGCUUUCUUGCUGGGACAGGGACAGUAGUGGAACUCCAUGACAAAUUUGUGCUAGGACCUGGGAUGUCCUGUGGUACUCAUGACUAUCCUUAAUAAAAUAAUGACCACAAGUGGGAAGAGGAUAUCCUGCCACAUAAAAUUCUGACCUAACGUAGUACUGAUACUUCUGUGUUAAGAGAGCAACUGGUUUUGAGCUUACAGACACUUCACAGCACCCCAAGGAGACCUGGGCAAGCAGAAGUUCCCUAGCAGGUGCAAGACAAGGGCAGUGAUGACUGAAGUCAGUCCAUAUUGUUCAGCUUGCAAUGCCCUCAGACUUCAGUGAGUGCCAUGUAUUUCUUCAGGAUGUUUUGCUCCAGAGGUGAAAAUAGGGCAGUCAGACAAAAGUAUUUAACUAAUCACCAUGAAUUUUUAACUCAGCAUAACAUUGUGCAUGAUUGAUGUGAAAAUGACAGCUUGAA